rnacentral:rRNA from 1 species
CCUACGGGAGGCUGCAGUAGGGAAUUUUGGACAAUGGGCGAAAGCCUGAUCCAGCAAUGCCGCGUGAGUGAUGAAGGCCUUCGGGUUGUAAAGCUCUUUUGGUAGGAACGAAACGGUCUGGGUUAAUACCCCGGACUAAUGACGGUACCUGCAGAAUAAGCACCGGCUAACUACGUGCCAGCAGCCGCGGUAAUACGUAGGGUGCAAGCGUUAAUCGGAAUUACUGGGCGUAAAGCGUGCGCAGGCGGUUUUGUAAGACCGAUGUGAAAUCCCCG